GAGUCGAUGGACUCAGACGGGGAUGGGUUGGUGGGGUUGGAGGAAUUUGUGGGGUGGAUGGAGAGAGAGGGCGAAGAGAGAAAGAUGGAGGAGUUGAGAGAGGCUUUUAGGAUGUAUGAGAUGGAAGGGAGUGAGUGUAUUACUCCAAAGAGCUUGAAGAGGAUGCUGAGUAGAUUGGGGGAGUCGAGAAGUGUGGAAGACUGCAGUGUUAUGAUCCGACAGUUUGAUGUAAAUGGGGAUGGGGUUCUGAGCUUUGAUGAGUUCAAGCUCAUGAUGCUUUAAUAUUGUUGGAUCAUCUUUUAUGUGAAUGUUGUAUUCUUUUUAGAUUUAAAAACAGUGGAUUGUAUUCAAGAUUCUUUCUAUACAUAGGAUUAUAUAUGAUUUUUUCUUUGUUUUUGAGUCAAUAAUGUUUAUGUUUUGUGAAUGAAUGAUUGUUUGGGGGCAAUCUUUAAGAGGAUGUUUGGAACUGUGAACCAAAUUUUGUAAGUCAUAUGAAAGGUCAGCUGGCUUUGCAUCCAGUACAGAUGGAACUUCAUGUGAAUGUUAAAAGUAAAUUACUUACAAAGUAAAGAGGAGUCAAAUUCAAUUUCUAGGAUGGUCAUUUUUUUUGUAAUAAAUAUAUAACAAAAUAAUUAUAAUCUUAAUAUAGCAUGAGCAUUAAUUAAAAUCAAUUUAAAUUAGAAAGUUAUCCUUUCCAUGGUUAGAACAGCUAAAACUCUAGGGUUUGGAACUAUUUUUAAUAAUGGUUUUCUGUUCUCUAGAGUAAAAAAAUUAUAGAAAAUCAAUCAAAAAUUAUUUUCUGUUCUCUGUUCGAACAAAAAUCAAGAUGUUUUCAAAAACCAUCUUUUAGUUGUUUUUUAUUGUUACAUUUGCUUUUUUUUUUUUUUGAAGGUUUUUUUAAGAAAUAAUUAUAUAAACAUAUAAAAUGAUUAAAAAUAAAAUACUAAAUGUAAAAAUUAUUUUUAAAAUUAUUAAAACAAGUUAAAAAUAUUUUUCAAAUAUUUUUAAUUACUCUAUUUGAAUGAAUCAACUUAACUUAUUUGAAAGAAUGAAUAAGUAAAAAUAAAUAAAAAUGUUGAUAAAAUAAAAUUAUAAGAGAUGAAAUUAUAUGGAGAAUAUGAUAUCUAUUCUUCCAUUUAAAGUAAAUAUAAUAUAUAUACAAAAUUCAAAUGAUUUAUAGAACAUAUAAUCACUUCACAAAAUAAAGUUUUAAAAUAUGUAAAAAUAAAAAGACCUAGCAUUGAAAGAAAAUUAAUAAAAGUAUUAAUUUAAAAAAAUUAAGCUUAAAAUAAUAAUAAUAAUAAUAAUAAUAAUAAUAAUGAAUUAGGCUUUCAAAAUUAUUUAGAUAAUAAAAUUAAGCAAAAGAAUUCAUAACUAAAGACUAAGGUGAUAUUUUUUUAAAAUUUUUGUUGAAAAUAAUUUGUUUUUGGAUUUAAUAUAAUUUUUUUAAUUUAUUAUUUAUUUCUAUUUUUUUUAUUGAAAUGAAAAAGUUAAAAUAUUUAACUUUUUUUUAAUGCUAAAAGUGCAUUAUCAUAAUUAAAGUAAUUUUUUUUUUUUUUACUUUUUAAUGCUUAAUAAAAAUAAUUAAAAAAACAAACAAUUUAAUACAUAACACUAUUAAACACCUUUUAGUUUUAAAUUCUAUUUAGAAUAAAGUCAAAAAAUUGAACACUACCUAACACUUUACGUGACAUCCCACAUCAGAUAUGGGGGGAAAGUUCUUGGUAUGGACUCAUCGUAAUCCUGUAAACACGUUUUAAAGUUGUGAGGGUCUCUUUAGGUCCAAAGCGGAUAAUAUUUACACGGUUGGGAGCAGACCAUUACAAACGAUAUCAAAACCGAUCCCUGACCUCGGUGUGAGGUUUGUUUGAGCUUAUAAGAGUAUUUGUUUGUUUAACCCCAUAAUCCCGUAAGACACAACGAAAACGUUGUGUCUGCAUGGGGGUGACUUUUAAAGUCGUGAGGUAUCUACACCAUAUAAAAUAAAUAAGUAGAAAUAUUAUUAGUGUAAUUGAAUUUUAUAUUUUGAAAUUAUAUUGAUAUUUAAAAAAAAUAGUUAAAUAAAAAUUAACUUCCGAUAUUGUAUUUUAAAAAAAAUGCACAACUCUUCCUACCUUUUUUUUUUAGUACAUCCAUAAAUCAAGUUAAAAGUUAGCGGGUUGAUUAAAAGUUAGCAAGUUGAUGUUUGAAAAUUCUAUCCACGUGAUAUUUGAUGUUAAAAGAAAUGGAACUUUAAUAUGUUUAAUAAUUUAAAUUAAGUGAUUAAAUUAUUAAAUUAAGUUAUCAAAUAUUUUUAAAAUUUUCUAAUGUGUUAAUUAUGAUAAAGAAAUUAUUUUUCCAUCUUAUGUAAAAAAAAUAUUUGAUAAUAUAUUAAAAAUAAAUGUAAUUGGGAAAAAGUUUAGAAGUUGUGUCAUUCAUCCAUGCUGAGGUGUAGGUGGCAGUGUGUAGAAGUAGAUAGGUUGUUUGAACUUUGAAACUAGUUCUGACGUUAGCUUGUUGUUCUACAGAAGACCACUAUUUUUUAUUUUAUUUUUUAUGUUUUAAUUUUGUAAACAUGUUUCUCGUUUGUCGCACCAUUCCCACCACAUGUCCAAGUGGAUUGAAAAAGCAAAAGGCCAGAACAAAGUAUUCGUCUACGAAGCGGUUUUGACCGUUGUACAGUCAAUAAUCUAGAACAUACGCAUUACGUGACGUCUCCAGCACUCGCUUCGCUUCAUUCUCCAGAACUUCCUAGUAAAGUCUCGAUUCUUCACUCUCAAAAUCUCUAUACCCAACAGCUCCAUCUACUCCUUUUACGCGUCCCCACAACAGCUAUAUAUAUGCACACACAAAGUGUUCAUCCUCACAUCUUCACAUCUUACUACAAAUUAAGUGUUAUUUACAUUAAUUUUCAUUAACAUCCUUGUGUUGCCACAUCCAUGAUUAACUGCGAUGUGUAUGAACGCAUUUUCAAGCGCUUCGAUGAAGAUGGUGAUGGGAAACUCUCUCCUUCGGAGCUCCGAUGCUGCUUGGGGACGAUAGGGGAGGAGCAGCCGAUGGAGGAGGCGCAGGAGGUGGUGGAGUCGAUGGACUCGGACGGAGAUGGGUUGCUGGGAUUGGAGGAAUUUGUGGGGUGGAUGGAGAGAGAGGGUGAAGAGAGAAAGAUGGAGGAUUUGAGAGAGGCCUUUAGGAUGUAUGAGAUGGAAGGGAGUGGGUGUAUUACUGCAAAGAGCUUGAAAAGGAUGCUGAGUAGAUUGGGGGAGUCAAGAAGUGUGGAAGAGUGCAGUGUUAUGAUCGGACAAUUUGAUGUAAAUGGGGAUGGGGUUCUGAGCUUUGAUGAGUUCAAGCGCAUGAUGCUUUAAUCUUGUUUAACAUCUUUUAUCUGAAUGUUGUAUUUUUUUUUUUAGAUUUAAGAAGAGUGGUUUGUAUUCAAAAAUUAAGAUUCUCCUCAUUGCUUUCCUCGUGCACAUGGUGAAGAAAAUACUCCCUAUUCUAUAUUUGAUUUUGCAUAAAAAUUCCUUUUACGGCAAAGAGCAAGUGUGAUAAAAUUUAAGUUGAUUUUUAAA
rnacentral:lncRNA from 1 species